CGGCAGCACGGGGGCAACCCUGGUGGCGAGUGGCGAACGGGUGAGUAACGCAUCGGAACGUGCCCAGUAGUGGGGGAUAACCCGGCGAAAGCCGGGCUAAUACCGCAUACGACCUACGGGUGAAAGCGGGGGACCGCAAGGCCUCGCGCUAUUGGAGCGGCCGAUGUCUGAUUAGCUAGUUGGUGGGGUAAAGGCCUACCAAGGCGACGAUCAGUAGCUGGUCUGAGAGGACGACCAGCCACACUGGGACUGAGACACGGCCCAGACUCCUACGGGAGGCAGCAGUGGGGAAUUUUGGACAAUGGGCGCAAGCCUGAUCCAGCCAUGCCGCGUGCGGGAAGAAGGCCUUCGGGUUGUAAACCGCUUUUGGCAGGAACGAAACGGCGCGGGUUAAUACCUCGCGCUAAUGACGGUACCUGCAGAAUAAGCACCGGCUAACUACGUGCCAGCAGCCGCGGUAAUACGUAGGGUGCAAGCGUUAAUCGGAAUUACUGGGCGUAAAGCGUACGCAGGCGGCUUUGCAAGACAGGUGUGAAAUCCCCGGGCCUAACCUGGGAACUGCAUUUGUGACUGCAUGGCUAGAGUCUGUCAGAGGGGGGUGGAAUUCCACG
rnacentral:rRNA from 1 species